rnacentral:rRNA from 1 species
AACGAACGCUGGCGGCAUGCCUAACACAUGCAAGUCGAACGAGACCUUCGGGUCUAGUGGCGCACGGGUGCGUAACGCGUGGGAACCUGCCCUUAGGUUCGGAAUAACUCCCCGAAAGGGGUGCUAAUACCGGAUAAUGUCUUCGGACCAAAGAUUUAUCGCCUUUGGAUGGGCCCGCGUUGGAUUAGCUAGUUGGUAGGGUAAAAGCCUACCAAGGCGACGAUCCAUAGCUGGUCUGAGAGGAUGAUCAGCCACACUGGGACUGAGACACGGCCCAGACUCCUAGGGGAGGCAGCAGUGGGGAAUAUUGGAAAAGGGGCGAAAGCCUGAUCCAGCUAGGCCGGGUGAGUGAUGAAGGCCUUAGGGUUGAAAAGCUCUUUUACCCGGGAUGAUAAUGACAGUACCGGGAGAAUAAGCUCCGGCUAACUCCGUG